UGUUUUCUUCAUUUCUUCAAUUAUAACUCAAAGUCUCCAAGACAUUUGUGUCUACGCCACAAUCACUACUUAUUUGAUACUCGUAUAUGCCAUCCUUCUGCUCUCGUAAUAAGUGACAGCGCUGACGUAGCAGUGACGUGAAGCAGUGGUUGACUUUCUCCUCAAGUUGGGGCGCGUUCCGAAGUCAACAAAAAAUCGUCAGGAAGAAAACAGUUACGACAAAACGCUGAAGAGCGUGACUGGAUAAAAGAAGAGGAAAAUAAGAAAAAAAGACAAUGGUGCCUGUGGACGAAAGUUUCUAUAAAUAGUUGAUGUUAAUGUACAUGGUAGCAGUCGCAUCGAGAAUAUCGGACGUGAUACGAGAUAAUAUGACGUAAUAAUGGGAUCACCCUGAAAUUCUAAUCUGACGAGUUCAAAACGUGCAAAAAAGCAACGCAUUUGCGAAUCGCAUGCAUAUUAGAUAUUAGUAUAUUUCUUUCAUGCGGGAGAAGACGGAGGAAAUAGGAAACAUUUUGUACUACGUCUUCUGUACGAAGAGGUCUGUUAGUGGGACGGAAAUAUGGAGGGCAGAAGAUAUAACCCAUACGCGAAAGUUCCUCCAGAUGAAGAAAUUGUGAUUUCCGGUAUUGCCAGUCGAUUUCCUGAUACAGAUAAUAUGAAAGAAUUUCAAGAAAAUCUGUUGAACAAGGUGGACUUCGGUUCGGCUGACAAUCGAUAAUGGAGCAACGUCCAUUAUGACAUGCCAACUCGAUCGGGAAAGAUUAAUAACGCAGACAACUUCGACGCACAAUACUUCGAUGUUUCACCUGAGGAAGCGCAUGUCACCGAUCUCAUGUGUAGGAUGUUGUUCGAGCACACUUACGAAGUGAUUAUUACGACGCUGGAGUAAAUCUCAAAGAAUUGUGAGGAACAAAAAUUGGUGUCUUCGUAGGAUCAUGUUACUCUGAAACGACCAAUGAGAUUUUCUACUACAAGACUCAGGUAGUCGGAUAUCCAAUUAUUGGCUGCGGUAAAUAUUGGCUGGCGAACAGCAUUUCUCGCUGGCUCGGCCUUACCGCACCAUCUUAUGCCAUAGACACAGCCUGCAGUUCAAGUCACUACGCUAUUGCAGAAGCUUACAGAAUGAUACGAAGAAUGCGAUGCAGCUAUCGU